AUGACUGAUGUUCAUGUCAUCAAUGUCAUGUCAUUGGAGCUCCCUAGUGUAGAAUGUCAUGUCAUUUGGAACCCAAAGCUUCAAAAGGUAGACUUCUCAUGUGAUUCUUCCUGUGUCCGUCUACAGGUCAUGCAUAGUACAGGCCCUCGCACAGAAACUUUCAGCUGCACAGUUCUAAGAUGGCUUUGUAAAAUCUUCACUCCAAACAACAGAAAUGCUGAUGGGGUCUGGUCUACAUAUCUCAGAGGGAAGAGAGGAGAACAGUGGGUGACAUCAUGUGCCAUAUGUUCAGCAAUACCUAUAGCACUGUAG
rnacentral:lncRNA from 1 species